rnacentral:tRNA from 2 species
GGACCCGUAGCUCAGCUGGAUAGAGCGUCGCCCUCCGAAGGCGAAGGCCGAAGGUUCGAAUCCUUUCGGGUCCGCCA